GUUCCUGGCUCAGGACGAACGCUGGCGGCGCGCCUAACACAUGCAAGUCGAACGGAGCUGUUUUCUCUGAAGUUUUCGGAUGGAAGAGAGUUCAGCUUAGUGGCGAACGGGUGAGUAACACGUGAGCAACCUGCCUUUCAGUGGGGGACAACAUUUGGAAACGAAUGCUAAUACCGCAUAAGACCACAGUGUCGCAUGGCACAGGGGUCAAAGGAUUUAUCCGCUGAAAGAUGGGCUCGCGUCCG
rnacentral:rRNA from 1 species